UUUUAUUAGAAGAACCAUAAAAAUCCAUUCAUUAGAGAGAAACCGAAGGAUAUUUUGGAGUCAUAUCUAAUUUUUAAGGAUUUAUUGGAAUCUGACUCUGAAGUAAUCGUUUCUAAAGACAAUGUUUUAUUUUUAAAGUAAAAAGGUUUAAAAGUUGAUACCUAAUGUAGAAACCUAUUGGGAAUAUCUUAAAAAAGUUAAGCUUCAUAUUCUUCAGAAUAUUCCUCAAUAAUAGUAUUAAGGGUUUAAGCUAGUCCAAGCAAAAAUCUACUAUUGACCUUUUUAUAUCAAUAGAUGAUUGAUUUUCAAGUUGAUUGUUUAUUUCAAAGUCUAAAAUUUAAAAAGUCAUUAAGAGCAGUCUCAAAAAAUAAAAAAAGGUUUAUAUUCUUUAAAAUAGUCGCCACCGAUGGUGUUUAGGCUCUUUUAUCGAAGUUUUUGUAAAUCAUUUCCAAGGCGAAAGACAGUUUUAGGUAAUUGGAGUCAUAACUCUACUUCUGGUGCUCAGAUCGUCUUCAUUUUUAUUUUAAAAGUUUCUUUGGAAUGUUCUUCAGCUUUCAUUGAAAGAAUCAUGAAAAUGGAUGUAUUAGAAACUUUUUUAUUCAAGUUUUUAUAGAUCCAGUCCAACAGGAAAGACGGUUUUAGGUAACUGGAGUCAUAACUCUAGUUCUGGUACUCAGAUCAUCUUCAUUUUUGUUUUAUAAGUUUCUUUGGACUAUUCUGCAUCUUUUAUUGAAAGAAUCAUGAAAAUCCAUGCAUUAGAAACUUUUUUAUUAAAGUUUUUGUACAUCAAGUCCAAACGGAAAGGAUAGUUUCAGGUAACUGCAGCCAUAACUCCACUUCUGGUACUCGGAACAUCUUCAUUUUUGUUUUUAAAGUGUCUUUGGAACGUUCUUCAGAUUUCAUUAAAAGAAUCAUGAAAAUUGAUGUAUUAGAAAUUUUUUUAUUCAAGUUUUUAUAGAUCCAGUCCAAGGGGAAAGAUGGUUUUAGGUAACCGGAGUCAUAACUCCACUUCUGGUGUUCAGAUCAUCUUCAUUUUUGUUUUACAAGUUUCUUUGGAAUAUUUGUCAGCUUUCACUGAAAGAAUCAUGAAAAUCCAUGCAUUAGAAUCUUUUUUAUUCGAGUUUUUAUAGAUCCAGUCCAAGGGGAAAGACGGUUUUAGGUAACUGUAGUCAUAACUCGACUUCUGGUACUCAGAUCGUCUUCAUUUUUGUUUUAAAAAUUUCUUUGGAAUGUUCUUCAGCUUUCAUUAAAAGAAUCAUGAAAAUCCAUGCAUUAGAAUCUUUUUUAUUCAAGUUUUUAUACAUCAGGUCCGAGGGGAAAGACCCAAAAGAAAAUUGAAAAAUUCGACUGUAGGUAUCUAAAUUGCUUCAAGUAUUUACAAUAAGGUUAAUUUCGCUUUAAAUGUCUGUUAAAAGGAUUUUAAAUAUUUAUAAGAUUUGAACCAUUAUUUUAACUGUGUUGAACGUAACUUCUAGUGCUUAAAAUGAAGUGAAACAAAAAUAUUUAAAAUAUAGACAUGACUUUAAAUACCUGGAAUUAACAAUGACCUUAAACAGUUUAGGAUAAAAGUCAGGAAAGACCUGAAAUAACUGACUAAAAGUUGAAAUUCAAUUGACUGAAAUAAAAUUAAAAAGUAGAUACUCUGUAUGGAAAUUAAAUGGCCUUCAGUUAUUUGAAAUAAGUGUAAUUUAAAAGACAGUUUCAGGUAACUGGAAUCAUAACUUCACUUCUGGUGCUCAGAUCGUCUUUAUUUUUGUUUUAUACGUUUCUUUGAUGUGUUCUUUAGCUUCUGUUGACAGAAUAAUGAAAAUUCAUGCAUUAGAAACUUUUUUAUCCAAAUUCUUAUACCUCACAUCCCAGAGAGGCAACCUGAGCAUAAAAUUAGAAAUUAGGCAUGACAAUUAUUAUGUUGUUAAACCUGAAACGUGUAUACACACUCUGGAAAACAUUAAACGAUUCUGGAAAUGAUAAUAUUACAUUUUCUGGAAAAUAGACAAAAUUGUUUGUAAUGCAUGCAUUGUAAGCACAUAAAAUUUUAUUCUCUGAAACUUAUACAUCAAAUGCCUGGAAUAAAAUAAAAACUUCCUUCUGAAUACUUGAAAUAAUAAUAAUACAGUAAAAUAAAGUGUAAAAUGUCUGAAUAAACAAAUGCCCCGCAAAAGAUUAACCUUGUCAGGGGUUUUUGAAUAUACAGAGUAAUAAUUUAAACAAAGUAGUUUUUUAAAAAUUUGUUACUAUCAAACAACUAAUAACGAUAAACAGUACUAGUGCAAAAAUAUAUUUAAAUAACAAUUUUUAUGCUAACGAUAUUUUACAAUAAGCAAUUGAUAAUCUUGGAAGUAUAACGGUCAAAGUUGGUAGGGACAUCUGUCUAAAUCAGGAAUAAAUUAGGGUUUAUUUAUACUACCGCUGGUAAUUUUUUUAUCGAAUUAAUUCAAAAAAAAACAGCAGGGAGUCCUUUAAUUAACUUUUGGACUCAGAUAUAAGUAGAAACGCUGUCCUAACGUGAUGUUUAUUUUUGGUAGGUAACCAGUUAGGUGUUUUGAGUAAGGGGGUAGUAAGUAUCUUUCUUCUUAAAUUGUCUUACUAUAUACAAAUUGGAAAAAUAGCUGCCUUAGGCAUGAAACGUUUUUCUAGAAAAGAGAAAUGGUAAAUGCCCGAAAAACAAAAUUGUUUUUAAUGCACGAACAGACUCAUAAGCAGACACCCGACCCGAAAAGACUUUUAUUCAAGUUUUUAUAGAUCCAGUCCAAGGGGAAAGACGGUUUUAGGUAACUGGAGUCAUAACUCCACUUCUACUACUCGGAUCGUCUUCAUUUUUGUUUUAAAAGCUUCCUUGCACUAUUCUUCUACUUUCAUUAAAACUCCAUACAAGGUUUAGACCUAAUUUGUGAACGAU